CAACUCUAGAGAUAGAGCCUUCCCCUUCGGGGGACAAAGUGACAGGUGGUGCAUGGUUGUCGUCAGCUCGUGUCGUGAGAUGUUGGGUUAAGUCCCGCAACGAGCGCAACCCUUAAGCUUAGUUGCCAUCAUUAAGUUGGGCACUCUAAGUUGACUGCCGGUGACAAACCGGAGGAAGGUGGGGAUGACGUCAAAUCAUCAUGCCCCUUAUGAUUUGGGCUACACACGUGCUACAAUGGACAAUACAAAGGGCAGCGAAACCGCGAGGUCAAGCAAAUCCCAUAAAGUUGUUCUCAGUUCGGAUUGUAGUCUGCAACUCGACUACAUGAAGCUGGAAUCGCUAGUAAUCGUAGAUCAGCAUGCUACGGUGAAUACGUUCCCGGGUCUUGUACACACCGCCCGUCACACCACGAGAGUUUGUAACACCCGAAGCCGGUGGAGUAACCUUUUAGGAGCUAGCCGUCGAAGGUGGGACAAAUGAUUGGGGUGAAGUCGUAACAAGGUAGCCGUAUCGGAAGGUGCGGCUGGAUCACCUCCUUU
rnacentral:rRNA from 1 species